GACGAACGCUGGCGGCGUGCCUAAUACAUGCAAGUUGAGCGCUGAAGGUUGGUACUUGUACCAACUGGAUGAGCAGCGAACGGGUGAGUAACGCGUGGGGAAUCUGCCUUUGAGCGGGGGACAACAUUUGGAAACGAAUGCUAAUACCGCAUAAAAACUUUAAACACAAGUUUUAAGUUUGAAAGAUGCAAUUGCAUCACUCAAAGAUGAUCCCGCGUUGUAUUAGCUAGUUGGUGAGGUAAAGGCUCACCAAGGCGAUGAUACAUAGCCGACCUGAGAGGGUGAUCGGCCACAUUGGGACUGAGACACGGCCCAAACUCCUACGGGAGGCAGCAGUAGGGACUCUUCGGCAAUGGACGAGAGUCUGACCGAGCAACGCCGCGUGAGUGAAGAAGGUUCUCGGAUCGUAAAACUCUGUUGGUAGAGAAGAACGUUGGUGAGAGUGGAAAGCUCAUCAAGUGACGGUAACUACCCAGAAAGGGACGGCUAACUACGUG
rnacentral:rRNA from 1 species